GAGUUUUGAUUGAUAAAAAUUUAACAAUUUUAUGGACCAGGGAGGCGACUGGCGGUGGACCAGCUUUAGCAAUCGACUUCCCCAAGAUGUUAUUUGUCAUAUUGCAGCAGGUCUGCCACCGUUUAAUUGUUUAGAUGAAGAUGCUAUUUUCUGGGCACCUUCUUCUUUAAGUCCUUUUUCCUUCAAAACUGCAUAUCUUCAUUUGUUUCACGGAAAUGGUAAUAUCUCUUCCCCAAUUUGGGGAAAAUUUGGAGGUGGAUUAGGCGCCAAAGGGCAAGGAUGUUCUAUGGCUGAUUCUGAAUAAUGGUUUGUUAGCCAAUUUGGAGAAAUGCAGAAGGCAUUUUGGGUCUUUCCUUUCAUGUUCUUUGUGUUCUGCUGAUGUUGAGUCUCUUGGAUUUGAAGGCAGAAAAAACUAAGAAAUUUAGGAGAGAUUUAUAUUAGAACAAGUAGAAGAGAAGAAAACACAAUUUCAUUACUAAAACAGAGGAUUUACAUACAUACAUUCAAAGAUUUUUUCUUUAUUUUCUUCCUCAUUUUGUUAGUUCUCUCAGAACUCUUCUUUAACUCUCUGCACUCUCUC
rnacentral:misc_RNA from 1 species